CCUGUGGAGCGUUACAGCAAACGCUAGUAGCCUGUCAGUAAUGACGACCAACGCGGACGCUUUGAAGCAGGAA
rnacentral:sRNA from 12 species